rnacentral:rRNA from 1 species
AUAGCGUAUAUUAAAGUUGUUGCAGUUAAAAAGCUCGUAGUUGAACCUUGGGCCUGGCUGGCCGGUCCGCCUCACCGCGUGCACUGGUCCGGCCGGGCCUUUCCUUCUGGGGAGCCGCGUGCCCUUCACUGGGUGUGUCGGGGAACCAGGACUUUUACUUUGAAAAAAUUAGAGUGUUCAAAGCAGGCCUUUGCUCGGAUACAUUAGCAUGGAAUAAUAGAAUAGGACGUGCGGUUCUAUUUUGUUGGUUUCUAGAGCCGCCGUAAUGAUUAAUAGGGAUAGUCGGGGGCAUCAGUAUUCAAUUGUCAGAGGUGAAAUUCUUGGAUUUAUUGAAGACUAACUACUG